rnacentral:rRNA from 1 species
UACGAAGGGUGCAAACGUUGCUCGGAAUUAUUGGGCGUAAAGCGCACGUAGGCGGCUUAGCAAGUCGGAAGUGAAAUCCCUCGGCUCAACCAAGGAAGUGCUUUCGAAACUGCUGAGCUUGAGUACUUAAGAGGGUCGCGGAAUUCUCGGUGUAGAGGUGAAAUUCGUAGAUAUCGGGAGGAACACCAGUGGCGAAGGCGGCGACCUGGGAAGAUACUGACGCUGAGGUGCGAAAGCGUGGGGAGCAAACAGG